AUGGGAACGCGAAGAACCUUACCUAGACUUGACAUCCCCUGAAUUACUGUGUAAUGCAGGAAGCCCUUCGGGGCAGGGAGACAGGUGGUGCAUGGUUGUCGUCAGCUCGUGUCGUGAGAUGUUGGGUUAAGUCCCGCAACGAGCGCAACCCUUAUUACUAGUUGCUACCAUUAAGUUGAGCACUCUAGUGAGACUGCCCGGGUUAACCGGGAGGAAGGCGGGGAUGACGUCAAAUCAUCAUGCCCCUUAUGUCUAGGGCAACACACGUGCUACAAUGGUGAGUACAGAUAGAUGCGAUACCGCAAGGUGGAGCCAAACUCUAAAACUCAUCCCAGUUCGGAUUGUAGGCUGCAACUCGCCUACAUGAAGUUGGAGUUGCUAGUAAUCGCGAAUCAGAAUGUCGCGGUGAAUACGUUCCCGGGUCUUGUACACACCG
rnacentral:rRNA from 1 species